rnacentral:rRNA from 1 species
UCCCGUUGAUCCUGCGGGAGAUUGCUGCUAUUGGGAUUCGAUUUAGCCAUGCAAGUCAAAGGGUCGCAAGACACUGGCGGACUGCUCAGUAACACGUCGAUAACUUCACCUUUGGUCUGGGAUAGCGUUGGGAAACUGACGGUAAACCCGGAUAGAAGAUUAGUACUGGAAUGUUUGUUCUUUGAAAAGCAAUGCCAAAGGAUAGGUCGGCGGCUGAUUAGGUAGUUGGUGAGGUAACGGCUCACCAAGCCUUGGAUCAGUAGGGGCCAUGAGAGUGGGAGCCCCGAGAGGGGUACUGAGACACUUACCCCAGCCCUACGGGGUGCAGCAGGCGCGAAACCUCUACACUGUACGAAAGUGCGAUAGGGGAAUCCCAAGUGCUUAUACUUUUUGUAUAAGCUUUUGCUAAGCGUAAAUAACUUGGCGAAUAAGUGGUGGGAAAGACUGGUGCCAGCCGCCGCGGUAAUCCCAGCGCCACAAGUGGCAAUCGCCUUUAUUGGGCCUAAAGCGUCCGUAGCAGGUUUUGUAAAUCUCUUGUGAAAGCGUUAUACUCAAUAUAACGAAUGGCAAGAGAAACUGCAAGACUAGGAACCGGGAGGAGUUAGGGGUAUUCUUGGGGGAGCGGUAAAAUGUUAUAAUCCCAAGAGGACCACCUGUGGCGAAGGCGCCUAACUAGAACGGAUUCGACUGUGAGGGACGAAAGCCAGGGGAGCAAUCCGGAUUAGAUACCCGAGUAGUCCUGGCCGUAAACGCUGUGAGCUAGGUGUGUCGCAUUCUUCGCGAAUGCGACGUGUCGGAGUGAAGAUGUUAAGCUCACCGCCUGGGAAGUACGGUCGCAAGACUGAAACUUAAAGGAAUUGGCGGGGGAGCACUACAAGGGGUGCGGCGUGCGGUUUAAUCGGAUUCUACGCCGAGAACCUUACCAGGAACGACGGCAGUAUGACAGUCAGUCUAAAGGGCUUACUUGACGAGCCGAGAGGUAGUGCAUGGCCGCCGUCAGCUCGUGCCGUAAGGUGUCCUGUUAAGUCAGGUAACGAGCGAGACCUGUACCUACAAUUGCCAUCAGGUAUUUCGAUACGACUGGGCACAAUGUAGGGACUGCCUUGGAAACAAGGAGGAAGGUGCAGGCAACGGUAGGUCUGUAUGCUCCGAAUUCUCUGGGCUACACGCGCGCAACAAUGGUAGAGACAAUGGGACGCAACACCGAAAGGUGAGGCCAAGCCUCGAACCUCUAUUCAAGUUCAGAUUGAGGGUUGCAACUCACCCUCAUGACGUUGGAAUCCCUAGUAAUCAGACGUUAUCAUCGUCUGGUGAAUAUGUCCCUGCUCCUUGCACACACCGCCCGUCAAACCAACCGAGCAGGGUUCAGGUGAGCUGUGAUCUUUUUGAUCACAUCGAACCUAAGCUCAGUGAGGUGGGUUAAGUCGUCACAAGGUA